UCUGAUCACGACUGCCUCAGGUUUC
rnacentral:piRNA from 1 species